rnacentral:rRNA from 1 species
CCUACGGGAGGCAGCAGUGAGGAAUAUUGGUCAAUGGACGAGAGUCUGAACCAGCCAAGUAGCGUGAAGGAUGACUGCCCUAUGGGUUGUAAACUUCUUUUAUAUGGGAAUAAAAUGUUCCACGUGUGGGAUUUUGUAUGUACCAUAUGAAUAAGGAUCGGCUAACUCCGUGCCAGCAGCCGCGGUAAUACGGAGGAUCCGAGCGUUAUCCGGAUUUAUUGGGUUUAAAGGGAGCGUAGGUGGAUUGUUAAGUCAGUUGUGAAAGUUUGCGGCUCAACCGUAAAAUUGCAGUUGAAACUGGCAGUCUUGAGUACAGUAGAGGUGAGCGGAAUGCGUGGUGUAGCGGUGAAAUGCUUAGAUAUCACGAAGAACUCCGAGUGCGAAGGCAGUUCACUGGACUGCAACUGACACUGAGGCUCGAAAGUGUGGGUAUCAAACAGGAUUAGAUACCCGAGUAGUC